GUAGGGAAUCUUCGGCAAUGGACGGAAGUCUGACCGAGCAACGCCGCGUGAGUGAAGAAGGUUUUCGGAUCGUAAAGCUCUGUUGUAAGAGAAGAACGAGUGUGAGAGUGGAAAGUUCACACUGUGACGGUAUCUUACCAGAAAGGGACGGCUAACUACGUGCCAGCAGCCGCGGUAAUACGUAGGUCCCGAGCGUUGUCCGGAUUUAUUGGGCGUAAAGCGAGCGCAGGCGGUUAGAUAAGUCUGAAGUUAAAGGCUGUGGCUUAACCAUAGUACGCUUUGGAAACUGUUUAACUUGAGUGCAAGAGGGGAGAGUGGAAUUCCAUGUGUAGCGGUGAAAUGCGUAGAUAUAUGGAGGAACACCGGUGGCGAAAGCGGCUCUCUGGCUUGUAACUGACGCUGAGGCUCGAAAGCGUGGGGAGCAAACAGGAUUAGAAACCCCAGUAGUCC
rnacentral:rRNA from 1 species